AGGUUUAGCCUUAAUCGGCACUUCCAAUCAAACUUAGCCGGGUCAUUUGAUCCGGCUUUUUUUGUGCGCGAA
rnacentral:sRNA from 1 species